GGAAGUGUCGCCUAGUGGCUAUGGCAACGGUCUUGAAAACCGUCGUGACGCAAGUCCAUCGUGGGUUCGAGUCCCACCACUUCCGCCA
rnacentral:tRNA from 1 species